GUCCCUUCGGGGACAUCCGAUAAAAUUGGAACGAUACAGAGAAGAUUAACAUGGCCCCUGUGCAAGGAUGACACACACAAAUCGAGAAAUGGUCCAAUUUUUU
rnacentral:snRNA from 1 species